AACAAUUACCAAAAGAAUACUCAUACAUAACAUUUUUCACACGUCGACAUAACAUGAUGUUGUGUCGACAUGUGAGAAAUGUUAUGUAUGUGUAUUCUUUUGGUAAUUGUUU
rnacentral:pre_miRNA from 1 species